rnacentral:rRNA from 1 species
CUACGGAUUGCUGCAGCGGGGAAUAUUGCACAAUGGAGGAAACUCUGAUGCAGCAACGCCGCGUGGAGGAUGACACUUUUCGGAGCGUAAACUCCUUUUAUAUAGGAAGAAGAUGACGGUACUAUAUGAAUAAGCGCCGGCUAACUCCGUGCCAGCAGCCGCGGGUAAUACGGAGGGCGCAAGCGUUACUCGGAAUCACUGGGCGUAAAGAGCGUGUAGGCGGAUUAAAAAGUCAGAAGUGAAAUCCUAUAGCUUAACUAUAGAACUGCUUCUGAAACUCUUAAUCUAGAAUAUGGGAGAGGUAGAUGGAAUUUCUGGUGUAGGGGUAAAAUCCGUAGAGAUCAGAAGGAAUACCGAUUGCGAAGGCGAUCUACUAGAACAUUAUUGACGCUGAGACGCGAAAGCGUGGGGAGCAAACAGGAUUAGAUACCCUGGUAGUC